rnacentral:rRNA from 1 species
CGGGGGCUCACACAAGCGGUGGAGGAUGUGGCUUAAUUCGAGGCUACGCGAAGAACCUUAUCCUAGUCUUGACAUGCACGGAUUAACCCCUGGAAACAGGGGCCACGCCUUCGGGUGGAACGUGCACAGGUGCUGCAUGGCUGUCGUCAGCUCGUGUCGUGAGAUGUCGGGUUAAGUCCCUUAACGAGCGAAACCCUUGUCACUAGUUGCCAGCGCGUCAUGGCGGGGACUCUAGUGAGACUGCCGGUGUUAAACCGGAGGAAGGUGGGGAUGACGUCAAGUCCUCAUGGCCUUUAUGACUAGGGCUGCACACGUCCUACAAUGCCACGUACAAAGGGAAGCAAACUCGUGAGAG